AAAAAAAAAAAAAACAAUUUGAAAGCUAAGCCGAGUGACACUUUUGAAAACACCUAACGCAAGGAAGCUAAUGCACUGAGGGGAAAAAACAGCCGAAAAGAGCAGAUCAUUCAGGGAACUGGCAAUCUGGAAGAGACCACUCUCAUCAGGAUAAAAGAGUUUCAUCAGUACAACAGAGCCCCAGGAUGCCCUCACUGUAGCUCCGUUUCUUGAGUGUAGGUCAGGCUCCUUUCACCUUGCUCAGAGAUUUUUGAAACCUCAUUAGCAGCCGACGCGUGAAAGGCUGGAGACCUCGACCUGACCCGCUGGAGAAUGGCGUGUGUGUUAAAUGGUUUACCCCAUGAGGAGUGGGGAGAGGUUCAGGAGUUCAGUGGAGGGGGGUACACCCAACCCUUUUCAACUGCUACCCUUGACCACCCAUAAUUUCUCCCACUUGGUUAUACCUUGAUGACUAUGGGCCCAGCACAGUCCAGCAUUGGAACAAAUUGAUAGAUUUUUUUUUUUCUCUGAGCAGGGAAGAACAUAAAGUACACUUGGUGGAGGGAAAGAUGGGUGCAAAGAAGAUUACAGGUUUUUACGUGAGUGACGGUAGCAUUUUUAUAUUGGAAAAUUCAUUUAAUUUAGGAAUGUUUCAGGUACUUAAGCAAUGUUUUUUUUGUUGUAGACUGAAUUAUGGUUGAAUAGGGAUAAGGGGGAUUUGUAGCGUUCUUGUCCUUUGCAUAAUUCAUUGCUACCACACUACGUCCAGAGCCCUCCUUUGCAACUGGUGUAACCACUUACAGAAAAGAGUUGCGAACCAGCCAAGUUCAUGUUGUUCUUCUUUUCUUUAAUGAAAAUAGUCAGAUGUUGGGCUGUACUAACGGCUUAUUGCAUUUGCAGUAGUGUAAAAAAAAGAACCUAUAUCCAGAAGGCAGGCAUGCAGAAGAAAAAAUGACCAUGUAAUAGCCGAUUCAAAUGUAGAAAAAUCUGCAAAAACAGAAUCCAGAAAGCUAGCUCAAAUAGUCAAAACAAAACACCUUUCCAAGAAACAAAGGUAGGCACAACGAGCACACACAGGAAAACAGACGGACUAACAAAGCACCAGGUGUUUAUCUAGAGGGGGGAUGUGGAUGCCUCAUUAAAAAGAAUCUGAAAAUCACACCCAGUUAUUAUAUUAUAUUUUUCAGUGGCAUUUUCCCACCAUAUCUGUUCUUAUCAGAUUUUCAUUUUUUCCAAGCAGUGGAAUUUUAGGGUUGCCUUCUCAGUAUGUGUUAUUUUUAAAUUUAAAAUUUCACAAUUAUUAAACUUAUUUUUAGAUGAUCAAUAUUUGCAGGCAUCAACAACCAGAAAAAAUAACUUGUGAGCAUGAAACUAUAUUCUACAAUAGCUAGUGGUCUCAUAAUGUGAAUGUUUUACUUCAGUUAUGUGUACUAAAACAGAAUGGACACUUACAAUUGCAAUAUUUUUUUUAAACAUUGAAAAAAGUUAAAUGGCAAUUAUCAGUUCUAUUCAUUUAUAAUUUUGCCUGUUACCAUAUGCUGACGCAUACAGAAAUAAUAAUCAUACAGUUAUUUACAAUAUUAUAGAUUUAUUCACACAGUAUCAAUAUUUGUUAUAAUGUCAAAGUUAGUGUUAGCAAGAGGUAUUAUUAAAUUAUUAUUUCCACAUAACAGACAGUGUAAGUGGUUACAUACACACUUUUUUUUUUUAAUUCUUACCUAAACGAUUCUGAAUUAAGAUUUUGGACCAACAGUUUUUUUUUCGUGUACAAAUGUUGAAUAUGUCAAAAAAAACAAACAACUUUUCUUAUUUUAGAAAGAGAGGUCUAUUUUCCCACACAUUUAUGUUAACACUGAGGACGUUUCUUCCUAUUCUUUAAUUGUAUUCAACAUAGGAUGCAUACAGUCUGAAAGUUAGCAGACUAAGUUAUUAAUACAGUACAGUUUUUCUUCUGAUUAGGUGAGGUAAAGGUUAAUGUAAGGGUCUGAAACUUGUCUGUGUUUGUUAAAUCUGAUCUUGGUGUUUGUAGAAUGGUUUAAAAGCCUAAAUAGAAUAAAACUAAUGUGAGACAAUAUUUGGCUUCAUGUAAACAUAGCUAAGGAACAGAUCUGUUUGUGUUGAUUUUUUACAUUUUUGUUCACAUAUUUUUUGGCAUUUGAGCAUUCGAGCAUGCCUUUUAAUCAUAUUUUAAAAUUGUAAUUAUUCAUUGAUCAGUUUUUGUGCAAUUAUAGCUAAUUCUUUUCUUUUCUUUAAAUUUAAUACAGCACUUUAAAAUGUAUCCAGUGGCACUGUAGUGGGAUUGGGA